rfam:Yersinia enterocolitica subsp. enterocolitica 8081 complete genome
UACUACACAAUAUCGUGUGGGUGAGACCCUGCGUUCAGGUUCGAGCCGAGCGAAGCGAGACAGCAACGCGCCAGCGUUGACCCGAAGGGCGAGGCCAGAGGCCGAGUCAUCCCGCACGACCCACCA